UUUUUUUUUUUUAAGGUUUCUGAAUUUGCUGUGCUUUCCACCUACUCUAUAUGUAUGCAGGGUAUGUACAUGCAUAUGUGUGUGCAUGUAUGUGUGUGUGUAUGAGUAU
rnacentral:miRNA from 1 species